GAUGAACGCUGGCGGCGUGCCUAAUACAUGCAAGUCGAGCGAACAGACGAGGAGCUUGCUCCUCUGACGUUAGCGGCGGACGGGUGAGUAACACGUGGAUAACCUACCUAUAAGACUGGGAUAACUUCGGGAAACCGGAGCUAAUACCGGAUAAUAUAUUGAACCGCAUGGUUCAAUAGUGAAAGACGGUUUUGCUGUCACUUAUAGAUGGAUCCGCGCCGCAUUAGCUAGUUGGUAAGGUAACGGCUUACCAAGGCGACGAUGCGUAGCCGACCUGAGAGGGUGAUCCGCCACACUGGAACUGAGACACGGUCCAGACUCCUACGGGAGGCAGCAGUAGGGAAUCUUCCGCAAUGGGCGAAAGCCUGACGGAGCAACGCCGCGUGAGUGAUGAAGGUCUUCGGAUCGUAAAACUCGGUUAUUAGGGAAGAACAAAUGUGUAAGUAACUAUGCACGUCUUGACGGUACCUAAUCAGAAAGCCACGGCUAACUACGUG
rnacentral:rRNA from 1 species